UACGAAGGGGGCUAGCGUUGUUCGGAAUUACUGGGCGUAAAGCGCACGUAGGCGGCUUUGUAAGUUAGAGGUGAAAGCCCGGGGCUCAACUCCGGAAUUGCCUUUAAGACUGCAUCGCUAGAAUUGUGGAGAGGUAAGUGGAAUUCCGAGUGUAGAGGUGAAAUUCGUAGAUAUUCGGAAGAACACCAGUGGCGAAGGCGACUUACUGGACACAUAUUGACGCUGAGGUGGCGAAAAGCGUGGGGAGCAAACAGG
rnacentral:rRNA from 1 species